rnacentral:rRNA from 4 species
UGUAAGGGGUCUAUACUGGGAGUGCUCCACCUGUUCCCAUUCCGAACACAGAAGUGAAAUCUUCCAAGGCCGAUGGUAGUCGCAAGGCGAGAGUAGGUAGGCCCCCUACA